rnacentral:rRNA from 1 species
UACGGAGGGUGCGAGCGUUGUCCGGAAUCACUGGGCGUAAAGGGCGCGUAGGCGGCCCGGCAAGUCAGUGGUGAAAGCCCGAGGCUCAACUUCGGGUCGGCCACUGAUACUGCGGGGCUCGAGUCGACUAGAGGCAGAUGGAAUUCCGGGUGUAGCGGUGAAAUGCGCAGAUAUCAGGAAGAACACCUAUGGCGAAGGCAGCUCUCUGGGACGGUACUGACGCUGAGACGCGAAAGCGUGGGGAGCGAACAGG